AUGUACGAGCAGAUGGAUGUUGUGAAGGCUCAGUAUGGUCUUCUUUCUGAGACUGUCAAGCAAUUCUCAUUCCAAGGCUUGCAGGGAGAACUGCAAAGCUAUUUUGAAGGACACCUGGCUGGCCUUCAGAACAAAGCACGUAGCCACCUGCAAAAGUCCUAUGCUGUGCAUAAGAUUGAUGUGGAUGCCAAAGUGGCGAAUGUAGUUGGAGAUGCAGGUCACCCAUUGUUGGGCUGUAAAAUUGCUUGUGGGCCUGAAGAAUACUGUGACUUCCAGAAGGAUCCACCACAGUGUGAAAGGUGCACUGUGUGUCCCCCUGGAUUCUUCCUGGUGUCGCAAUGCUCCCCCAAUGCUAAUAGGAUGUGCCAGGACAGGGAUGAAUGCCUAGAAUUACCAAGCCUGUGUGGAGAGCAAGUAAAAUGUCUUAAUACCCCAGGAGGGUUUCAUUGUCUUGGUGUCUCUGAGAGGGAGAUGUCCACAGGGCUGUGUGGUCAUGAGUACUUCUACAAUCAGGAAAUUCAGGAGUGCCAGGCUUGCUUAGACUGUGAUGGAGAGCCUGUUGGCAUUCCUUGUACUUUCACCAGUGAUGCUGUAUGUGGAAGUGUGAUUGAGAAUAUGCUCUCGCAGUCUUGGACUGCUUCAGUUGCCAUACCGCCUACAAAAUCAAAGAAUACUUCCAUCUAUCCAGGGCUACAGCUCAGUAUUCGAGGCAAAGAAGGAAACAAACUUCUUAACAACCAUGAUGAUAACCUCAACCUCCAAAAACAUGGACUGGUCUGGAUAGACUACAACUUUGCACUAAAGCAUAGCUGCAGGAAUUUUCUCCAAGUUGGGAUACAGAUAAACGGCAGUGAAGAGGAGGGUAGAGACCUCAGUGGGGUUCGAUUUGAGCAACCUGAAAGGAAGUUCUUCCAGGGUGUGACUGUAAGUACAGCAGUUGAGGUGGAACCCAGUCAUACUCUGACACUCAUGCUGAAGAGUCCCAACCAAUACUGCAACCAGAGUAAAGAUAUUCAAGCCUAUGAGCUAAGAGGAGCUUCAUUUAGCUUGCUCUGGCUAUCCCAUGACACCGGCGCUGUGGCCAUGACUGCUCAGAUGUCCACAGUAGCCCACUACCAGAGUAACUAUCGCCCCACCUUCUGUAUAGCCACUGUCUCUGAUCCCUACAUAGUGGCCCUGGCCCAUGACAGCCAUGGGGUGCAUUUCAUGGAGACCGGUGUGGUGAAGUUUGUACUCCAACAGGCCAUCUAUUCAAUGGGCCAUUCUUGCGUUCGAGAAGGUUUCUCACUGAUUGCUUACAUUAACAAAAAUGGCACUAACCAGGAGGUGCUACGCUCCUUUAAGUCUGGCGUUAACUACAAAGACACCUCCAUCACCCUUUCUGGGGCCACAAGGGUAGACAGCAAAGAUUGGCUCUAUUUUGAAAUUAUCGCCCCAUCUCAGUGCAAUGUCCACUACUUUGGUGAUAGUUCUGGAAUUAGUAUGCUCAACUUGAUCUGGAUCCCUACUGCUGUCUCCUCCAUGUUCACAGCCACUGUCUUAAGAACAGGUCUACCCUCUGGGGCAGUAAGAAAUAAACCUCUGCUCUUUAGGCAGAUGAGCCCGAAUACAGACCAAAUGCGACUAGCUGGGUCAGGUGAGCCGCAUGCUCAGAGAAACUUUGUGUUUUCUGAGCCCGGGACGAUCAGUGUGGCCCUCAACCUAAAACUGAUCCACUCCUGCAGUGUGGUGAAGCUGAGCCAUUAUCAGCAAGGUACAAAUGGAGGUCAGGCCACAUCCUUGGCCCAGCAGGUGGGUGGACAUAUGCCUGAAGGUAGUGAGUGGGCCAGUGUGGGGUUGAGAACUUCUUUCGAAGUGCAAAAUGGUACUGCCAUUUAUGUUUCUCUGGACUGCGUUCGUGGCCGGAUCAACCAGAUCAACCAUGAGGGAGGCACCAGCAUCUCCAUUCUUUGGUUGGCGUCAUGA
ensembl:lncRNA